rnacentral:tRNA from 1 species
GCGUGGCUCAGUGGAUAGAGCAUCAGCCUGCAGACUGAGGGGUCCCGGGUUCGAUUCCCGGUCAGGGCA